GACGAACGCUGGCGGCGUGCUUAACACAUGCAAGUCGAACGGAAAGGCCCUGCUUGCAGGGUGCUCGAGUGGCGAACGGGUGAGUAACACGUGGGUGAUCUGCCCCUUACUUUGGGAUAAGCCUGGUAAACUGGGUCUAAUACUGGAUAGGACCAUGCUGUAGGUGGUGUGGUGGAAAGAUUAGUUUCGGUAAGGGAUGAGCUCGCGGCCUAUCAGCUUGUUGGUGGGGUAAUGGCCUACCAAGGCGUCGACGGGUAGCCGGCCUGAGAGGGUGGACGGCCACAUUGGGACUGAGAUACGGCCCAGACUCCUACGGGAGGCAGCAGUGGGGAAUAGUGCACAAUGGGCGCAAGCCUGAUGCAGCGACGCCGCGUGGGGGAUGACGGCCUUCGGGUUGUAAACUCCUUUCAGCCAUGACGAAGCCCUUGUGGUGACGGUAGUGGUAGAAGAAGCACCGGCUAACUACGUG
rnacentral:rRNA from 1 species